AUUAAGAGUAGGGUCUCUGGCCCGACCUCCAACCCUCUGUUGUUAAAACUACCUUGUUGCUUUGGCGGGACCGUUCGGUCUCGAGCGCGCCGGUCUUCGGAUUGGCGAGCGCCCGCCAGAGUCCAACCAAACUCUUGUAUUAAACCAGUCGUCUGAGUAUAAAAUUUUAACCCAAUUAAAACUUUCAACAACGGAUCUCUUGGUUCUCGCAUCGAUGAAGAACGCAGCGAAAUGCGAUAAGUAAUGUGAAUUGCAGAAUUCAGUGAAUCAUCGAAUCUUUGAACGCACAUUGCGCCCCUUGGUAUUCCGAGGGGCAUGCCUGUUCGAGCGUCAUUACACCACUCAAGCACUGCUUGGUAUUGGGCAUCGUCCGUCGAAAGACGGGCGUGCCUCGAAGACCUCGGCGGGGCCUAACCGGCUUCGGGCGUAGUAGAGUUAAAUCGAACGUCUUAUAAGUCUGGUUAGAACCCAUUGCCGUAAAACCUUUAUUUUUCUAGGUUGACCUCGGAUCAGGUAGGGAUACCCGCUGAACUUAAGCAUAUCAAUAAGG
rnacentral:rRNA from 1 species